rnacentral:rRNA from 1 species
UACAGAGGUGGCAAGCGUUGUUCGGAAUUACUGGGCGUAAAGGGCACGUAGGCGGUCUUGUAAGUCUUGUGUGAAAUCCCUUGGCUUAACUGAGGAACUGCACGAGAUACUGCAAGACUUGAGAUCGGGAGAGGGAAGCGGAAUUCCGGGUGUAGCGGUGAAAUGCGUAGAUAUCCGGAGGAACACCGGUGGCGAAGGCGGCUUCCUGGACCGACACUGACGCUGAGGCGCGAAGGCUAGGGGAGCGAACGGG